rnacentral:misc_RNA from 1 species
GAUGAAGAACGCAGCAAAAUGCGAUACGUAGUGUGAAUUGCAGAAUUCAGUGAAUCAUCGAAUCUUUGAACGCACAUUGCACCUCUCGGUAUUCCGGGAGGUAUGCCUGUUCGAGCGUCAUUUGUACCCUCAAGCUCUGCUUGGUGUUGGGUGUUUGUUCCGCCUCUGUGUGUGAACUCGCCUCAAAACAAUUGGCAGCCGGCGUACUUGUUUCGGAGCGCAGCACAUUUUGCGAUCCAGAUCAACGUACAGCGGCAUCCAAGAAGCCUUAUUUAACGCUCUUGACCUCGGAUCAGGUAGGGAUACCCGCUGAACUUAAGCAUAUCAAUAAGCGGAGGA